UAACCAAACAUCGUGUUAAACAAGUAGA
rnacentral:piRNA from 1 species